rnacentral:rRNA from 1 species
CCUUCGGGAGCUUGCACAGGUGCUGCAUGGCUGUCGUCAGCUCGUGUCGUGAGAUGUUCGGUUAAGUCCGCUAACGAGCGCAACCCUCGCUGUGUGUUAUAUGUGUCACACGGGACUGCCGGUCUUAAGCCGGAGGAAGGUGGGGAUGAUGUCAAGUCAGCAUGGCCUUUAUAUCCUGGGCUACACACACGCUACAAUGGCCAACACAAUAGGUUGCUAAGCCGCGAGGUGGCGCCAAUCCAUAAAGUUGGUCUCAGUUCAGAUUGUAGGCUGCAACCCGCCUGCAUGAAGAUGGAGUUGCUAGUAACCGCAGGUCAGCUAUACUGCGGUGAAUACGUUCCCGGGGCUU